UAGUCGAGUGGCUCAGCCAAAACGAGUCACGGCGUACAGCUCAGUAACACGUGGCUAACCUGCCCUUGGGACGAGAACAACCCCGGGAAACUGGGGCUAACUCUCGAUAGGCGAAGAACUCUGGAAUGAGUCUUCACCAAAACAGUUUAAGGUUAUGCUCUUUAAACUGCCCAAGGAUGGGGCCGCGACCGAUCAGGUUGUUGGUGAGGUAAUGGCUCACCAAGCCUUUUACCGGUGCGGGCCGUGGGAGCGGGAGCCCGGAGAUGGGCACUGAGACAAGGGCCCAGGCCCUACGGGGCGCAGCAGUCGCGAAAACUUUGCAAUAAGCGAAAGCUUGACAGGGCUAUCCCGAGUGCCAUCCGCUGAGGAAGGCUUUUACCCAGUCUAGAACGCUGGGGGAAUAAGGAGAGGGCAAGUCUGGUGUCAGCCGCCGCGGUAAUACCAGCUCUCCGAGUGGUGUGGAUGUUUAUUGGGCCUAAAGCAUCCGUAGCUGGCUAAGUUAGUCCCUUGUUAAAUCCACCGAAUUAAUCGUUGGAUUGCGGGGGAUACUGCUUGGCUAGGGGACGAGAGAGGCAGACGGUAUUUCCGGGGUAGGGGUGAAAUCCUAUAAUCCCGGGAAGACCACCAGUGGCGAAGGCUGUCUGCUAGAACGCGCCCGACGGUGAGGGAUGAAAGCUGGGGGAGCGAACCGGAUUAGAUACCCGGGUAGUCCCAGCUGUAAACGAUGCAGACUAGUUGUUUGAACGGCCACGUGCCGUUCUAGUGCCGCAGGAAGCUGUUAAGUCUGCCGCCUGGGGAGUACGAUCGCAAGAUUGAAACUUAAAGGAAUUGGCGGGGGAGCACCACAAGGGUGAAGCUUGCGGUUU
rnacentral:rRNA from 1 species